GUGUACCACGCGUACACUGCGAUUCCUCCGAGCCGUCCGCACUUACCUGACGACUGCUCGCUACGUUUUGUUAGUC
rnacentral:sRNA from 1 species